rnacentral:rRNA from 1 species
CUGUAUCUCCUUCUGAUGUGAUCCUAUAAGAUCUCACAAGCUAAAUAAGGUCCGGAGCUAGCUAGUACUUAGAUGGGAGACCUCCAGAGAAAAUCCAGUUCAGA